rnacentral:misc_RNA from 1 species
GAAGAAUUUAUCGGCAGAGAAGAGCGUGCUAGAAAAGAGAGAAAUGCUGUCCUAAAAACUUUGAAAUUCGCAUCAAUAGAAGUUUGAAAAGAAGAAAAAAGAAGAAGAAUCAAUUAUGAAAGAGGUAGAAAUUGAGGGAAAAUGAGAGAAAAUAUGAGGGUGAAUGAAGAGGUAUAUUUAUCUUACUUUGAUUUCAGCUUAAACAGCGAUUCUUGUUUAUAUACAAUAAUUGCUUUCGGUGGUUCACGGAAUCCUUCUUGAACCAAAAAUUCAUACUAGCUUCAAUACUGAGCGUUUCUCUUCAUUUCAGUCACACCUUACAAUAUUUAGAGCUGCUGUUGAAGCUAUUGAAUAUCUCUUAAAGGGUAUCUGGACCUGGAAAGUGACAGAAGCUUCUUACCUUUUUCAGUAUUUUUGGGCAAACUCAUCUUUUCUGCAUCUCAUUGUGGUUACUGACCUUGCAUGCGGGCAAAGUUUGUUAUUUGGUAUGUAUUUGAUGGGCUGUUCAAAUGCAUGUUUCAUUUAAUCUUCAUUGCAUUGGGGUUAAUCCCAAUCACGUCAAUUUAAAUGGAGAGAAACCUGAACAAUAUUACAAUGGAACAAUCAGACAUAUGUAAACAAUUUCAAUACAGUUCCAGGGAAUCUGGACAUGAGGGAUUCCAACCUGCAUCUCAAGCAUUUAUGCUAGAUGCUACAAGCAGCAGAAAUAAUAAUAUGAGACUUCCUGACCGAAAUGUAUCAGAGGUUAAACCUGUACUCAACUAUUCCAUACAAACAGGCGAGGAGUUUGCUUUUGAAUUUAUGCGUGACCGAGUUAAUCAUAAGAAGCCUUUUAUCCCAAAUGCUGCGGGUGAUCCCAAUUAUGCAACAGGGUAUAUGGAACUAAAAGGCAUUUUAGGCAUUAGUCAUACAGGGUCUGAAAGUGGGUCAGAUAUAUCAAUGCUUCCCAUAGCGGAGAAAGGUCCAAAAGAAUUUGAAAGAACAAGCUUGUCUUCGCACGAGGAGAGAAGCAACUAUGGGUCAGUUCGGUCAGUACCUCAAACUUCAUCGGGUUAUGAAAGUCGAGGACCUAUACAUGUUUAUACCUCUUCAGGAGCCUCUGAUAGCUUGUCUGGAAAGAUGAAAGUUCUCUUCAGCUUUGGUGGUAAAAUCCUACCUCGUCCUAGUGAUGGAAAGCUCAGGUAUGUUGGAGGUGAAACACGCAUUAUACGCAUUAAUAGGGAAAUUUCAUGGCAGGAGCUUAAGCAGAAAGCUUUAUCAAUUUAUGAUCAAUUGCAUGUGAUAAAAUAUCAACUUCCUGGAGAGGAUCUUGAUGCCUUGGUUUCUGUUUCAUCUGAUGAGGAUCUGCUGAAUAUGAUGGAGGAAUGGAAUGAAGUUGAAGAUAGAGAAGGAUCACAAAAACUUAGAAUGUUUCUGUUCUCCAGGAGUGAUUUGGAGGAUGCUUAGUUUGGCUUGGGCAGUUUGGAAGGCGAUUCUGAGAUUCAGUAUGUAGUUGCAGUUAAUGGCAUGGACCCGGGAUCCAGGAAAAACUCGAUUGUGCAUGGUUUGGCAAGCUCUUUGGGAAAUAAUUUAAAUGAGUUAGAUAGAUUAAUUAUUGACACAGAGACAAGUGGGGUGGCAACUGUCUCUGUUGAUGUCAGUACUUCACCAUUGACUAGCAAUUUCCAUUCUGCCCAACCAAUUCUUCAGAAUUCCUCCAGUGCAUAUGAAACGCAUCCACAGCUUUAUCAUGGCCAGAUGAUGGAUCAUAGAGAAGCUCAGCAAUUCCUGGCACAGUAUCCGAACAAUUCUUCUAAUCACUCCCCUUCGGAAGAAAUUCCCUAUUCAACCUCUGUUCAUGGGUUUAUGAAUCAACAAGGAGGUUUAAAUGGAGGAAAGUCAUGUAGUAGCUUUCUGGGGCAAAAUUCAGAGGCAUUAAUAAAGGAAGCAAAGCAGAAACCUGAAGGUUCAGUUUGGCAUGAGGUUGGAAUUGAAAAAAACUCAUCCCCAAGAAAAGGCUGUUCCAGUUAAUGAAAUAUCAGUUGCAAUUGCUGCACAAGAAGAUAUCCAUUCUCUGCCCUCAAAAAAUGAGGGAAAGCUCCCAGAAUCUGAAAAUGUCUCUUCUUCUGUAGAUGCCUUUAAUCAGGUGCAGAUUUCUAAAUUAUGUGAAGAUGAUCAUUGUUCCCCAUCUAGUAGUACAUUUGGUCUGAGUGGUGCUGAUUCUGUUUCUAAUUUGAUAGACUUUAGCUACUAUGAACCAUCUGUACCUCCACAGAGAGUUUAUUAUUCAGAAAGGAUACCCAGGGAACAAGCAGAGCAGAUGAAUAGGUUAUCAAAAUCUGAUGAUUCACAUGGUUCUCUGUUUCUUAUUUCUCAUUCUCAUUCUGAUAUUACCGAACAUAAGUCUAUUACAGAAUCUGCUGAAAACUUUAUUCAAAGUAAUCUGGAUCUCCAUACUGAACACCCCAUGCCAACUGCAAAACCAUUGCAUAUAGAUCCUCAACAAAUCAAUGAUGGGCUUGCCCAACUCCAGAAGUACAAGGAGUUUGCAGAUGCAGUUUCUCAGAUGAACAAGACGCUUUUGGAUUCUCAAGAUGUUUUGCAGAGUGGGUUCAAGCUAGCAGUUGCAAAUGAUGUGGAUAAUAAAGAUUCUGCAAACAGAGAUGCUAUGCUUAAGGCUGACCAUGAUCACACUGCAGGUAAACAGAAAAAACUCCCGAUUGAAGAAACCAGAGAAUCUAGAUCUGGAAAUCCUGCUGCAUCCCAAGUAACUUCUCUUGUGCACCACAAGGAUCCUGUGACUGAUCUUGCAGAGCCUAAACUGAGUGAGAUAACAGGCAAGGAUUUUGCUAGUAACAAUCUUGGACAUUCUCAGCUAUUUUCUCGGACAGAGAGCUCAACUAAUGAUAUUUCUCAAGUAAUACCCCCUGUUGGUAUUUCAGCAACAAAACAGGCAGACAUCAGUAUAGAUAUUAAUGACAGAUUUCCUCGUGAUUUUCUUUCUGAAAUAUUCUCCCGAGGGAUACUUACUGAGGAUAGGGCAGGUGUUAGUCCAAUGCACAAAGAUGGAGCUGGCAUGAGUGUGAUCAUGGAAAAUCAUGAGCCUAAGCACUGGUCAUAUUUUCAGAAAUUGGCACAGGAAGAAUUUGUUCUGAAAGAUGUUUCUCUUAUUGACCAGGAUCCUCUUGGUACUCCUCCUUUACUAGCAAAAUUAAAAGAUGGAGAUCAGAAGUCUCACCUUUUUGCACCUUUGACAGAAGAUGGAGUUUCAAUGGGCCAUAAGUAUUCCCAGUCCCAGCUCAAUUUUGGUAAAGACAGCAAUAACAAAAAAAUACCAGGAAUGGGAGGAGCUGAAUCCACAGUUCAUUCGAAUUUUGGUCAUUCCCAGAUGAAGGGCAGUGAAAGUAUUCAGUUUGGUGCUAUGAUGGAGAACUUAAAAUCUCCAGAGUCACAGUAUGAGGGUGGGAAGUUAGAAAACAGGAACAUUGGCCUGCCUCCUAUUGAUAUAUCUCUUGUAGAUUUUGACAUCAAUACCUUGCAGAUCAUAAAAAAUGAAGAUCUCGAAGAGCUGAGAGAACUAGGUUCUGGUACUUUUGGAACUGUAUAUCAUGGCAAAUGGAGGGGAUCAGAUGUUGCCAUUAAGAGGCUAAAGAAGAUCUGUUUCACUGGUCGCUCAUCAGAGGAAGAGAGAUUGGUAUUUAUUGCUUAAAACUUUAUAUGCAUUCACAUUUUAUUCCUAAAAAUAACUAUUUGCUACUUAGCUAAAUAUUAACCAUUUUAUCAUACACAGCCAUCAUUGAUAAAAAGCCAAUCAAGGAGAAUAUAUUGUUAGUCUUCUUUGGCUUCAGUUGAAGUACAUUGCUUAAGAUUAACUUCAAUUUUUACCUCUUCCAAUUCCCUUGUCUUAUCAUGAUACCAAGUAAUCAAUAUACAUUUUCCAUCCUCAGACAUUAGAGUUUUGGCGGGAAGCUGAAAUCCUUUCAAAGCUUCACCAUCCAAAUGUGGUAGCAUUUUAUGGCGUGGUGCAAGAUGGACCUGGAGGGACAUUAGCUACUGUGACAGAGUACAUGGUUGAUGGUUCUCUUAGGCAUGUUUUACUUAAGAAGGAUAGGUAUCUGGAUCGUCGCAAGAGGCUUAUAAUAGCCAUGGAUGCUGCAUUUGGAAUGGAGUAUCUGCACUCAAAGAACAUUGUGCAUUUUGAUUUGAAAUGUGACAACUUACUCGUGAACUUAAAAGAUCCCCAGCGACCGAUAUGCAAGGUUGGUGAUUUUGGACUGUCAAAAAUUAAACGAAAUACCUUGGUUUCUGGAGGUGUGCGAGGAACUCUACCAUGGAUGGCACCAGAACUGCUAAAUGGUAACAGCAAUAAGGUCUCAGAAAAGGUUGACGUUUUCUCCUUUGGAAUUGUCUUGUGGGAGAUCCUCACCGGUGAGGAGCCGUAUGCCAACAUGCACUAUGGUGCUAUCAUAGGAGGAAUUGUAAAUAACACGUUGAGGCCAACCAUUCCAAGCUUCUGUGAUCCUGAAUGGAAAAGGCUGAUGGAGCAGUGUUGGGCCCCUAAUCCUGCAGCCAGGCCAUCCUUUACUGAAAUUGCCGGCCGAUUGCGAGUAAUGUCGACAGCUGCUGCCCAAACCAAAGGACACAGUAACAAAACCUCAAAGUAAAUGUGACGCAACACUGGCAGUCCAUUAUUUGAGGAUUGCUUAUAUUUAAAAAGAAAUUAAAAACUUAAUUAUUUUGUCUCAUUAUAUUAGGUCUAUAGUUUUUAAUUGUAAUGGUUUUUGUUAUUUGAAAAAGAAAUUCAAAACUUAAUCAUUUUGGGUGUUUUGUUUUCUCGUUAUGCAAGGUAUAUAAGGUUGUUUUUUUUUUUUAAAUAUAUUUUGUUAGGGGUUUUUGAUGCCUGUACAAAAGCAUUUU